GACAGAGGGUGCAAACGUUGUUCGGAUUUACUGGGCGUAAAGCGCGUGUAGGCGGCUUUGCAAGUCGGAUGUGAAAGCCCACGGCUCAACCGUGGAAGUGCAUCCGAAAACUGCAUGGCUGGAGUCUCGGAGAGGAAGGUGGAAUGCUUGGUGUAGAGGUGAAAUUCGUAGAUAUCAAGCAGAACACCUGCGGCGAAGCGGCCUCUG
rnacentral:rRNA from 1 species